UCUGAUUCCCCUUGGCCAUCUCUCCUGACCUGCUGUUCUCUCUCAGGGCCCCCCAGGACCAGGUGAUGGCAGCACUGCUCCAGGGGAGCCUGGGCUGCCGGGUCUUCCUGGAAGCCCUGGACCCCAAGGCCCAGUUGGCCCCUCGGGAGAGAAAGGAGAAAAGGGUGACUGUGAGGAUGGAGCCCCAGGCCUCCCAGGACAACCUGGUAGCCCGGGUGAGCAGGGCCUACGAGGACCUUCUGGAGACAUUGGCCCCAAAGGUGAUAGAGGACCCAAAGGGGCUGUGGGUGACACUGGAGAGAAGGUAA
rnacentral:lncRNA from 1 species